rnacentral:tRNA from 1 species
GCCCUUGUAGCUCAUCAGGACAGAGCGCUCGUCUCCUAAACGAGAAGCAGCUGGUUCGAGUCCAGCCGGGCGCA